CUGGAAGACGAGGAAUACACCUUCUGGCUGCACCCAGACUGUCAGCCACCAAAGAAGCUCAUAAACACAAGGACUCCGAAAGGCAUCCAGCCAACAUGACCUCAGAAGUAUUUACAUACUGUGAUGGAGACAGUGAUAUAAUUCAGUUUCUGUAUCACUGUAUUUUCUGCCAAUUACUACUCCAGUGUGUCUCUCGGGGAUGUGGAAAUUUUUGACAAGAUGAGGAGGAAAAAAAAAUCAAUUCUCUUUUGAGGAAUCAAUGUAUUAAUACCCAAGUUAUUGCCGCCAAUUGGAAACCCAUUGUCAUCUUAUUUCUG
rnacentral:lncRNA from 1 species